rnacentral:rRNA from 1 species
UACGUAGGGGGCAAGCGUUGUCCGGAAUUAUUGGGCGUAAAGAGCGUGUAGGCGGUCCGGUAAGUCAGCUGUGAAAGUCAAGGGCUCAACCCUUGAAAGCCGGUUGAUACUGUCGGGCUAGAGUCCGGAAGAGGCGAGUGGAAUUCCCGGUGUAGCGGUGAAAUGCGCAGAUAUCGGGAGGAACACCAAUGGCGAAGGCAGCUCGCUGGGACGGUACUGAACGCUGAGACGCGAAAGCGUGGGGAGCGAACAGGA